rnacentral:lncRNA from 1 species
CUGGAAGAGAUCAAACACUCAGCAUUCAUAAAGAUCUGUGGUGAAGAGCAAAAUCUGGGAAGAAGUCUCCAGGGCCUUCUACCACUUGCUGAUUUUGGAUGGUCUCCAUGAAAGGAGAGGUCUGGAACUGAGUUGGCCCUCCUCCAUAUCCUGGACCUCACCUCUCCAGGAAGACCCCAUGAGUUUGUCCGGGGCCUUUUUGUCCAGAGCCCUUUUUGGCUCUUCCUCUCCUUACCACCUAUUCCCUUUUCUCUACAGCAUUCAAGCCUAGUUCUUUUUGAAGAUAUGGAGACUGGAGGCCCGCAGACCUCAAAAUCUCUACUUUUUUGACCUCCCAGCCCUGGGUGACCCAGUGGCUCUGGACAGACCUUAAUGCUUUACCUGUGGCUUGCUUGACCCCUCAGCAGGAUUCUAAAUUGUUCUUCUGAGCCAAAGCAUCAACUGUGCCUACAUCUGGGGCAAAACCCAGCUCCCAAGAAGUCAAGCUCAGAGAAUGUCUCCCUCUAUACUGACACCUUGGCCUGGUCCUGGCUUUUCCAGUCUCUUCCAGAACUGCCUGGGGAUCCCAAUACUGUCUCCUUAAGCAGAUAUAGCAGCUCCUGGGAUGAAACAAGCAAGGAACUGAUUGAAGUGGGCCCUACAUCUGCUACAAAAUAUGUGCAUGUAAAACAGACAAAAGAAAAUGUGGGUAUUUGAUUUUGUUUCCAAGUGACUUGGGAAGAAAGUAGCUCUAAUUUCUUUUUAAAAUAUUUUUAAUUAAAAAAAAAACAUUAUAAAAAGAAUAGUAUACAAAAAAGAAAAAUCAGCCAACAUUUUAACACUCAGAAGUAACUCCUGUUAAUAUUCUAAUAUUCUGAUAAUUCUAAAAUGUUUUAUAAAUAUAUAUGAAUGAAUAUGUGUAUUUUAGUUUAUUUUACUGCAAGCUACAUAUUAUUUUAUACUAUUCAUUAAAUUUAAAAAUGCAAUAGUAACAUUCCAUUAACACUAAUUUCCUGUGUGUGUGUUUUCACAACAACUAUACAUGUGUGUGUGUGUGUGUGUGUGUGUGUGUGUGUGUGUGUGUGUUCACAAAAGCUAAUCUCUCAGGAGAAUAUUGUCCUACCGGGUUACUUAGAGAUGUUCUUGACCUUUUGAAAGUCAGGUUUUCUGCCAGCAUUCAGUAUAUGUUCUGUGAGAAUCAUUCCACAAGUAGAUACAUUUUUGAUGUAAUGUGGGAGAAGGUGAGCUUCAUGUUUGACUAUUUCCGCCAUCUUGAUCUGUCCUCAGGAAAAUCUUGAUUCGUGUGGUCUUUUGUUCUGCUGAGUAUCUUGAUUAGAUUUGGGUGUGAACACUGAGGAAACCAGAAGGGAAAGAGACACGUGUACCCCAAUGUUCAUCGCAGCACUGUUUAUAAUAGCCAGGACAUGGAAGCAACCUAGAUGUCCAUCAGCAGAUGAAUGGAUAAGAAAGCUGUGGUACAUAUACACAAUGGAGUAUUAUUCAGCCAUUAAAAGAAUACAUUUGAAUCAGUUCUAAUGAGGUGGAUGAAACUGGAGCCUAUUAUACAGAGUGAAGUAAGCCAGAAGGAAAAACAUCAAUACAGUAUACUAACGCAUAUAUAUGGAAUUUAGAAAGAUGGUAACAAUAACCCUGUAUACGAGACAGCAAAAGAGACA